UGAGUCUUCACCCAAAAGACGCUUACGCUAUGCUUGUAGGCGCCGCCCAAGGAUGGGGCCGCGACCGAUCAGGUUGUUGGUGAGGUAAUGGCUCACCAAGCCUUUUACCGGUGCGGGCCGUGAGAGCGGGAGCCCGGAGAUGGGCACUGAGACAAGGGCCCAGGCCCUACGGGGCGCAGCAGUCGCGAAAACUUUGCAAUAAGCGAAAGCUUGACAGGGCUAUCCCGAGUGCCAUCCGCUGAGGAAGGCUUUUACCCAGUCUAGAACGCUGGGGGAAUAAGGAGAGGGCAAGUCUGGUGUCAGCCGCCGCGGUAAUACCAGCUCUCCGAGUGGUGUGGAUGUUUAUUGGGCCUAAAGCAUCCGUAGCUGGCUAGGUUAGUCCCUUGUUAAAUCCACCGAAUUAAUCGUUGGAUUGCGGGGGAUACUGCUUGGCUAGGGGACGAGAGAGGCAGACGGUAUUUCCGGGGUAGGGGUGAAAUCCUAUAAUCCCGGGAAGACCACCAGUGGCGAAGGCUGUCUGCUAGAACGCGCCCGACGGUGAGGGAUGAAAGCUGGGGGAGCGAACCGGAUUAGAUACCCGGGUAGUCCCAGCUGUAAACGAUGCAGGCUAGGUGUUUGGACGGCCACGUGCCGUUCUAGUGCCGCAGGGAAGCUGUUAAGCCUGCCGCCUGGGGAGUACGAUCGCAAGAUUGAAACUUAAAGGAAUUGGCGGGG
rnacentral:rRNA from 1 species